GAUGAAGAACGCAGCGAAAUGCGAUAAGUAGUGUGAAUUGCAGAAUUCAGUGAAUCAUCGAAUCUUUGAACGCACAUUGCGGCCAUAGGUAUUCCUUUGGCCAUGCCUGUUCGAGCGUCAUUUACACCCUCAAGCCUAGCUUGGUGUUGGGCGCCUGUCCCGCCGUUUUCGCGCGCGGACUCGCCUCAAAGUCAUUGGCGGCGGUCGUGCCGGCCCCCUCGCGCAGCACAUUUGCGCUUCUCGGAGGCCCGGCGGAUCCGCGCUCCAGCAAGACCUUUCACGACUUGACCUCGGAUCAGGUAGGGAUACCCGCUGAACUUAAGCAUAUCAAAAGCGGAGGA
rnacentral:misc_RNA from 1 species